AUGCUGCUGGGAAGGAUAGAAAUGGGAAGAGAAGUUUGCAGCUUGAAGCGGCCUCCGGUGUGUCCUUUCCAAGCCGUGUUCUCAAGCCUUGUAAUAAUGUAUUCUUUUCUGGCCCUCCGGGUCUUGUAACGUACAUCUUGUUAGUUGAAAAAUGAGAAGAAGAUUUUGUUACCUCGUCCGCACCUUGCAUCGAAUUGUUGUCUGCCGAACUUCCUUCUUCUUCUUUCUUCUCNNN
rnacentral:lncRNA from 1 species